AGAAUUCCCUCUUGCGUAAGCAAGACUGAAGGCCCCUCGUAGACAACGAGGUUGAUAGGCCGGGUGUGAAAGGGCAGUAAUGUCUUGAGCUAACCGGUACUAAUAGGCCGUGCGGCUUGACCAA
rnacentral:rRNA from 1 species